GCAUUCAGCCAUAUCUGAUUCCACAUCCCAUCCUUUUUCUACUGUGGGACUAGGCUCUGUGCUGGGUGUCUGUUUUCUCCAACAGAGAUGGGGGAGGUGCUGCAGUAGCUUUGCUCUUGGCUCCCUCUAUGGAGCUACUCAGGAGCAUCAUCAAUUUACAUCUAUGUCUGCACUGGGAGAGCUGACAGCAUCUUAUGAAACUCUGUGAACCAAUUCUAUGGACUGGGGCGAUGGAAGAAACACAAAAAUAGGGAAUUCCAUCAGAGAGCUCCCAUGCUGUAUGACACCACGAAAUCAGAUUCAGACCUCUCAAUAGUGGGGAGGGUGUUACUUUUCAUCAUCUCGUGAAUAUAUGCUUUAUUCCAAGUAUGGCAAAAGUCAAUGCUGUAAGUGUUCACUCUCCUGUCUUCGUCAGACAUUAGGGUAUAUUGAUAAACACAGUAUUAGAAUCAUCUUAAUGGGUGAAAUUUUCUGAGCUCUGCAUAGGGUACUCUUUGGGUGUGUCGUAUUUUUUGCUGUUACUUAUAGUGUGGUCCAUGGACCAGCGGUAACAGCAUCUGUUAGAAAUGCAGAGUCUCAGAGCCUACCCCAGAACUUCUGAAUUACAAUCUGCAUUUUAUACAGGAUCCCUACAUGAUCUGUAUGUGAAUUAAAAUUUGGAAAGCACUGAUGUAACCAAUUAAGAAAGUGUAUGGAAUGCAUUAUAAAAGCCCCUUGGUUUUCA